AAUCCAUAGGUUAAUGAGGCGAACCGGGGGAACUGAAACAUCUAAGUACCCCGAGGAAAAGAAAUCAACCGAGAUUCCCCCAGUAGCGGCGAGCGAACGGGGAGGAGCCCAGAGCCUGAAUCAGCAUGUGUGUUAGUGGAAGCGUCUGGAAAGGCGCGCGAUACAGGGUGACAGCCCCGUACACAAAAGCGCAUGUGCUGUGAGCUCGAUGAGUAGGGCGGGACACGUGGUAUCCUGUCUGAAUAUGGGGGGACCAUCCUCCAAGGCUAAAUACUCCUGACUGACCGAUAGUGAACCAGUACCGUGAGGGAAAGGCGAAAAGAACCCCGGCGAGGGGAGUGAAAAAGAACCUGAAACCGUGUACGUACAAGCAGUGGGAGCACCCUUUUGGGUGUGACUGCGUACCUUUUGUAUAAUGGGUCAGCGACUUAUAUUCUGUAGCAAGGUUAACCGCAUAGGGGAGCCGGAGGGAAACCGAGUCUUAAUUGGGCGUUAAGUUGCAGGGUAUAGACCCGAAACCCGGUGAUCUAGCCAUGGGCAGGUUGAAGGUUGGGUAACACUAACUGGAGGACCGAACCGACUAAUGUUGAAAAAUUAGCGGAUGACCUGUGGCUGGGGGUGAAAGGCCAAUCAAACCGGGAGAUAGCUGGUUCUCCCCGAAAGCUAUUUAGGUAGCGCCUCGUGAAUUCAUCUCCGGGGGUAGAGCACUGUUUCGGCUAGGGGGCCAUCCCGGCUUACCAACCCGAUGCAAACUGCGAAUACCGGAGAAUGUUAUCACGGGAGACACACGGCGGGUGCUAACGUCCGUCGUGAAGAGGGAAACAACCCAGACCGCCAGCUAAGGUCCCAAAGUCAUGGUUAAGUGGGAAACGAUGUGGGAAGGCCCAGACAGCCAGGAUGUUGGCUUAGAAGCAGCCAUCAUUUAAAGAAAGCGUAAUAGCUCACUGGUCGAGUCGGCCUGCGCGGAAGAUGUAACGGGGCUAAACCAU
rnacentral:rRNA from 2 species